rnacentral:rRNA from 1 species
CACGUAGGGCGCAAGCGUUGUCCGGAAUUAUUGGGCGUAAAGAGCUCGUAGGCGGUCUGUUGCGUCCGCUGUGAAAACUCGGGGCUUAACCCCGAGCCUGCAGUGGAUACGGGCAGACUAGAGGUAGGUAGGGGAGAAUGGAAUUCCCGGUGUAGCGGUGAAAUGCGCAGAUAUCGGGAGGAACACCGGUGGCGAAGGCGGUUCUCUGGGCCUUACCUGACGCUGAGGAGCGAAAGCGUGGGGAGCGAACAGGAUCUAAC